GAACCCACAAAAUUUGUGAUGUGUUUGUUAGAACCCACAUAUCUUGUGAUAUGCUUAUGUUAGAAAUCACAAAUUUUGUGACAUUGUGACUAUAUUACAACCCACGAAAUUUGUGACAUUGUUUCUAUUUAAGAACCCAAUUUGUGACAUUUUGUUUAUGUUGUGAUGUGAUAUGUUAGAAUGUACAACAUUUGUGAUGCUGUGUCUGUCAGAACCCACAAGAUUUGUGACAUAACAACAUUAGAACCCACAAGAUUUGUGAAGUAACAACAUUAGAAAUCACAAGAUUUGUGAUGUUCUGUCUAUGUUGUGAUAAAACCCACAAAAUUUGUGACAUUGUGUCUUCAUUAGAACUCAGUAUAGCAUAUAAAAUAUUAUAAUCCAGCUGAGAUCAAAUAUGCUUUUUUCUUUCUUUUGUUAGCAGGGUACUGAUUAAAUAACCAUCAGUAAUAUAUUGUAUUAUAGAUCUAAUCAGUUGUAUCCUGUUUCAAUAAGUUUGGCCACAUGCCAAAAUCAAUACAUUCUAAUUGCUCUAUUAAUAACGAAUAUUAGUAUAAUGACAAGAGUGAUUGCUAUUGUAUUGUUUGUGAUAAUAAAAAUACAUAUUAUAAUGUAUAGAACGAGAUGAUUGAUGAUAACAAAAAUAAUAAUAAUGGUGAUGGAGAAGAUAUGCUAAAUGAAAAAAAAUAGAAUGAAAUGGAUUGUUGGAAAAGAACAAGUAAUAAUGAAAAAGAUACAAAUGAGAAAUAAAAAAUUUCUAAAAAUUUAAAUGUUUAA